rnacentral:lncRNA from 1 species
UAGCUUGGAAGAAAUUUUUGCCCUCCUGUGUACAAAGCUUGGCUGCUGACCAGACAGAUUUUCCUGCUUUCAUCGGUAUAGAGAAAUCAAGAGGACUGUACUCUGUUUGCUUGGCUGAAAUGCGUGGCAACCUGCCCUGUCCAAAAGAUGAUGCUUGGUGAAUGCUGAUGGUGAGAAUUGCCACUGUCUCAUGAAUGAAGUAGUGAUUUGUUGAUGGACAUCAGCAA